GAUGAACGCUAGCGGAGGCUUAACACAUGCAAGUCGAGGGGCAGCAUAGGGUAGCAAUACUCUGAUGGCGACCGGCAAACGGGUGAGUAACGCGUAUGCAACCUACCCUGUACAGGGGGAUAACCCGGAGAAAUUCGGACUAAUAUCCCGUAAUAAUAUCCGGAGGCAUCUUUGGAUAUUUAAAGUUCCGACGGUACGGGAUGGGCAUGCGUAACAUUAGCUGGUUGGUAAGGUAACGGCUUACCAAGGCUAUGAUGUUUAGGGGUCCUGAGAGGGUGGUCCCCCACACUGGUACUGAGACACGGACCAGACUCCUACGGGAGGCAGCAGUGAGGAAUAUUGGUCAAUGGGCGCAAGCCUGAACCAGCCAUCCCGCGUGCAGGAAGACGGCCCUAUGGGUUGUAAACUGCUUUUCCAGGGAGAGAAACUUACGCACGUGUUGCGUGACUGACGGUACCCUGGGAAUAAGCAUCGGCUAACUCCGUG
rnacentral:rRNA from 1 species